UGACCUGCGGAAGGACAUUACCG
rnacentral:rRNA from 1 species